CACCACCUCAAACAUGAUUACCGCAAAAGCAUCCUAAAUACUCAAGGACAUUAUUUAGGUAUCGUCAAAAUACCAAACCUGGCAAUUCUAAAUAGCUUCAAGAUAAAGUUUUAAGCAAAAAAAAAUUCAACAAACUAUUUUCAACACUAGGGCUUGCUCUUAGCUACCCAAAGAAGUAAUCAUAAAUGAUGUAAAUAAUAAUAUCCUGAAGUGGGUAGAACGACUUUCCCUGUAACCACGAAUAAUACCUACACAUCAAAAAAUGGGCUUUAUAGAUGAUUUAUCUUUUAAUUUAAAAGAAAAUCAUCGUUCAACGUAAAUGCAACACAAGGGCAGUUAGAAACGGAGUCUUGGCAGUUUUAUACUAGUUAUGAUGAAAUUGUUCAUCUUCAUCUUGAACAUAACAGAAGACACUUCUAUUGAAAGAGAAGUUUUGAGGGCAAGCGUCCUUUUAAUGUAACCAACUGGAUUGAAAAUGAGCACUUUGCUUAAAACAAAUAUGAUUCUACCAGGAGACUAACAUUGGGAUUAACGUGUCGUCAUCUGGGGGAGAAGCCUACACACGUCAUAUA